UACAGAGGUCCCAAGCGUUGUUCGGAUUCAUUGGGCGUAAAGGGUGCGUAGGUGGCGCUGUAAGUCGGGUGUGAAAUUUCGGAGCUUAACUCCGAAACUGCAUUCGAUACUGCGGUGCUUGAGGACUGGAGAGGAGACUGGAAUUCAUGGUGUAGCAGUGAAAUGCGUAGAGAUCAUGAGGAAGACCAGUAGGCGAAGGCGGGUCUCUGGACAGUUCCUGACACUGAGGCACGAAGGCCAGGGGAGCAAACGGG
rnacentral:rRNA from 1 species